GGAAAGUUGAAAAGCACUUUGAAGAGAGAGUUAAAGAGGACGUGAAACCGAUGAGAUGGAAACGGACAGAGCUAGCGUAUCUGGCUUGCAUUCAGCUUAUGCGGUCGCUACCGAUGCGUCGCUGACCUCCAGAUUGGGGCUUUGACUAGUCGGUCGGUGGCUGUGUUGUGCAUUUGCAAGUGGAGUGCGUCGAGGCAUCUGGGAUGGCGGAAUGAACUUGGCUUUGAGGCCAGCUUGCUGGUACCCGGGCCUGGGGAUUUCUGUUCGUUCUAGGUGUUUUUGCGGUCGAACAAGGCUUUGCGAGCCUGGUUGGGUGCCGAGCUGGGUGUCGGUGGCGGUCGCAUGCGACACGUACUGUGCCACCAGUUCGGUCCUGGCCGAGCUCACUCCAUGUUCAAUCUCGGCGUAAAAGCUGGUCAUCUUUCCGACCCGUCUUGAAACACGGACCAAGGAGUUUAUCGUGUGCGCGAGUCAUUGGGCGUUGAAAACCCAAAGGCGCAAUGAAAGUAAAUGUAUCCGCUCGGAACUGAUGUGCGACCCUGGUCACUGCGGUGGCCAGGAGCAGCAUGGCCCCAUCCUGACUGCUUGCAGUGGGGUGGAGGAAGAGCGUACGCGAUGAGACCCGAAAGAUGGUGAACUAUUCCUGAGCAGGAUAAAGCCAGAGGAAACUCUGGUGGAAGUCCGAAGCGAUUCUGACGUGCAAAUCGAUCGUCUGACUUGGGGUAUAGGGGCGAAAGACUAAUCGAACCAUCUAGUAGCUGUC
rnacentral:rRNA from 1 species